GGGAGAGAGAUAAGCAUCUGAGCUCCAGGCUCCCUCCUGCAGCUGCCAGAUCUUUACGGAGGUGGAUCCACCCUUGAGCCUGGAUUCCUGACUUUUGCCACAGGACAUUAUUGCAGGAGGUUUCCUGAACAGCCACGGAAGGAGCAGUGCCCAUCUCAGACAAGCUCCAGAUCAAAGUCGGAGCCUGAGGAAGUCUCCCUUCUGAAGCUGUUCCAGUCCUAAAGACCCCAGACUUGGAGCUCCUCAGAGUCCUAAAUCAUUCUGCUCUCAGUCUGAACUGCUUUGAACUUGAUUUGUCAUUUGUCACUAAAAAGGUUUUAAAAAAAAUCCCCAUCCUGGAAGUCUUUCAGUGGCUGCCAUGUGGAGACAGCAUCUUAACCUCCCAGUGUAGCUCCGUGCCCCGCAUUUCCCCAGUGGAAACAUAGCUCCUGCCCUUGAUCUUCAACGAUGCAGGUUCCUGCUGGGCUCGCCCCGCUCCUUGCUCCCUCUGGAUGCUGAAGCACCUGCACCUGGGCAGCUGCACUAUUCUGUGUGAUGGCAAUCAGCUGCAUGUGUUUCCUUCAUCGUGAGCCUGAGAGCCUGCCAUUAAAGCCAUCUUGAAACCCA